GACGUUGGAUGCUCGGUAUAUUGUUGACACUCCACUAAGUCUUUAUUUUCUUAAUUAUACAGCUCCUAACUUUUCUAUCACUCUGUAUAUAUGAUCAAAUGGUUAAACAUCUUUGCAUGAGUAUGGCUGCAUCAUUUAUUCAGACGAGCUUCGUAUUGUUGCUCCUCACUCUUCUGCUUGGGGCAGCCUAUUUACCGCACCUCACUGCUCUUCACUCUGAAUCAUCAGCUUCCCCUGUCUAUGCUAACUACCACGCACGCCGCCUAUCCACCCACCACUUCUACGGAGCUUACAGGAGUGAACCACACCCUGCCCACGGUGCAAGCGUUAAUGAUUGAAGAGAUUUCUUGUAACAAAUCGUCUGCCUCCACUGCAUCUUAUGGUUAUUCGACUAGUAGAGGAAGUUGAAUCCCAGUGCUUGCAUAAUAAUUAUGUAUGUGAUGCAGAUAUCAUAUGUACAGGGAAUCUUCUUUCUGUUCUGUUUCUUAUAUAUGCAGAUGUACACCUGAUUAUAACUGAAUGCAGCCUAUUUUGAAGUUUGAACAAUAA